rnacentral:lncRNA from 1 species
ACUAGAGCUGCAUGCUUGUUGGCUGGCAGAGCAUGAUAAGCAAUUUAAUACAUACGAAAAAACAAAUUGAACCUAUUCAGUGCUCCAGGAAUUGUCCAGGAACUUGUCACAAUUUUAUGUCUUUUUCCUGCCCUGAUUUUGUCCCAAUUUUAGAGAUACUCCAGUUCAGUUUAUCCCAGUUCUACUGAUACCCAAGCCCACUGUAGCUGAAAAUUGGGCCAAGAAUAAGCGAACAACUAAAAAAAUAAAGAGAUAUAAUUGUAUAAUACCGUCAUGCUCACAAACCAAGCCACCCCAUGCGAACAUAUAAAAUAAACAACACAGGUUUGACAAAGAGUAUCCUUAAGUAGGAGGACAUGCCUUUUAUUGUACUGGCACUUUGGAUGGCUGUAGCCACGUCAUGCAGGAAAAGCUAAAUAUACCACUGGGACAGAUAACCAUACCUAAGCAUAAUGGCAGCACAAACAAUGUUAUGUUAUAGACACACAUCGAAAAAUAUUUCUCUGCACAACAACUGCACCCACACCAUGGAAGAAGGUUUGAACAUUACAUGUGCAAUAUUACAGUGGGGAGUAAAUUGAG